GGAGAGGUGUCCGAGAGGCUGAAGGAGCACGAUUGGAAAUCGUGUGUGCGUUGAUAGCGCACCGUGGGUUCAAAUCCCACUCUCUCUGCCA
rnacentral:tRNA from 1 species